rnacentral:misc_RNA from 1 species
GCUCCGACUUACCCAAUAUGAUCCAGCCAAGUCCAUGCAUGCGUACGUGUUGCGGGCUUGCGGCUCAUUCAGGAUCGACAUUUCAUCAUUCAUCCAUGGCGAGCGAGCUAUAUAUGAAAUUGUGUAUUGCGCUGACGACGGAUCGUGUCUAGACAUGCCACUGCUUGCUGCUCUGGUGGUGCCCUUGCUCGUACGCCGCCGACGACAUGCAGGGAUCGAAGCCGGCCAUGGUGAGUAUGUCGCCGUGGGAGAAGGCUCUCAGCCCCAAGAAGUCCCUGGUGAAACCAUCGUUGGCGCCUACCACCGAGACGGCGGCGGCAUUGCCGCAGGCGUCCCGGUCAGCACUGGUGGUGGUCCUCUCCUCCGCUCCGAAGUGAUGAGGUGCUCCAAAGCCGAAGGCACCAGCGCCAGUGCCAGGCACGUUGAUUGCAGCA